GCCGGGCCAGGGCGGUGAGGGAGCACCGAGUGCGUCACGUGCGAGGGGGCGGAGACCGCGUCGGGGGCGGGGCCUGAGCGGAGGGAGGCGGGCCUGGGCGGCGGAGAAACACGUGCCGGCUUGGAGGCGAUCAGAGGGCAACCCGCCUAGGAGGGAAGGGCGAUGCAGAGAGGCACCCGCGCCCCUCGCCGGCCUCGAGCAGGCAGGGCCCACCCCACAGGAAUCAUAUAAAUUAAGUGUGGAAAUACUGUGCGAGGCCAGGGGGUUAGACACCUGUGGAGAAACAAGCACAUAGCGUCCGCAAGCAGGGACAGACCGCGGCGAGCACACCACGUGGCGGCACAGAGGCACGAAGGGAGCAGACAGAGCCAUUUGUGUUGAGCAUGAAAAGCAAGUUGCAGAAGCACGCCUGUGGUGUAAAACAAUUUACACAAAGCUUAAAAUAGCAAACUGAUUAGCCCGUUGUUUAGGGACAAGUACCUACGUGGGUGCUGGAGAAUAGAGAAAACCAAGGGCAUGGUUUACCCAGAACUGGAGGUACUGGUGGGCAACAGAGUGAUCUGCAAUGGGUCCGGGUGUGUGUGGCUGGCUGAGUAACGGCUUGUCACAAUGACGAUGCCCACACCCUGAUCUCUGCAGCCCAUGAAUGUGUCGCCUUAUAUGGCAGAAGAGAUUUUGCAGGACCUUCAGAUGCAUUGUCCAGGUGGGCCCCAAAUGUAAUCACAUUUGAAGAGGGACACAGGAGUGUCAAUGUCCCUGUGGAGACAGACAUUGGAGCAGUGCAGCCAGGAGCCAAGGAAUGUUGGCAGCUUCUAAAAGCUGGAGGAGUCGUGGAACUGAUUCUCUCCUGGAGCUUCCAGAAGGAACUGGUCCUGGCUGGUUAUGGCAGGCACAAGACACCCAAACACAACAGCAAUAGUAAACUAUUACAACAUGCAGAGAGCUUUUGGGGUAAGGUUAUUUCAUGAUAGGGGUGCCUGGGUGGCUCAGUCAGUUAAGUGUCCAACUUCGGCUCAGGUCAUGAUCUCAUGGUUCAGAAGCUGGAGACCCAUGUCAGGCUCUGUGCAGACAGCCCAGAGCCUGGAGCCUGCUUCAGAUUCUGUCUCCUGUCUCUGCCCCUCCCCCACUCACAUUCUGUCUCUGUCUCUCUCAAAGAUAAAUAAACAUUAAACGUUUUUUUAAAAAGGUUAUUUCACGAUAUAUUUCACAAUAAAAUGAUUAGAGAGCCUUCAAAGAAAGUCACCACCCAUCAUCCCCAUUUCUGAAGUGUAAUAUGAAGUAAUGAUGAAAUUCUAGAAUAAGAACUCAAGACCAGCAGACCAUGCUGAUGGGAUUGGAGCUUUGAGGCACCCCCCCACUCCAGCCCCCAUGCAGAAUCAGGAAGUGAGCCUCUACCAGGCAGAGACUGUGCCUGUCUUCCUGUCACUUCAAAGGGCACGGGGAAGAGUGCCAGAGACACUGGCACACACAGCGGGCACAGUGGGCUCCGUGGGACACGACACCUCUCUGGUUGAUGGGGGCAGGACGGAAGUAAGGGCCACAGGAACAGAACAGAUUGGAAAGGGGCAGUGUCUGAGGCAGCCAGAGACCAGACAGCCCAUCCUGCUUGCCAAUGACAGUGUUAAUCUUGCCCUGUUUUCCCACCUUCUAGAUGGAAAUUACUAAAAUAGGCCUCUCAGAAUCACCCCUGCUCCCUGAGAGCACCCAAUGCAGAACAAAGUGGGUUUCCUCCGAUGCCCCCCAGUCACCUCGCACAAGGGAGGAUGUGAAGGGAAAAGAGCCCCGUUUGGCUUGGUGUGGCCCUGCCACCAGGGCCCACUCCAGUGUCCCACCACCUUCCACUGCCUCAGGGACACACACCUUUCAUUUGCAAGCUCGCUCUUCAGAAGGGAGAGGGGCUUCAUUCAGCCUGGACCUCUCCCUACACCCCUCCUGGCCGCCAGUGUGGGGAGGAGAUGCCCACCUCAGUCCACCUGUGCUAGGACACUAAGUCCCCUCCGGCACUGCUCGUGAAGAUGCCCGGCUCCCUCCUUGCAGAGUCAGUGCAUUCCUGGCGGCCUUUGUCUUCCUCUCCACGAAGACUCGGACGCUUCCCCCAAUUGUUAUCAUGGGGAAACAGAGGGAAAGAAGCAAUGUUUUACUCUUGAGUUCCAGACCGAUGCAGGGAGGGGACGGUAGUAUUAAAAGCCAAAACUUUAUUGUCAGGAGCCAGCUUUUUUUUUGAGAAGAGAGGCGUGUGAGAAUCCAAAGAUUUAAAGAAAGCGGCACAGACCCAAAUUUUCCAUCAAAGCUAGAACGCAUGGGGCCAGGCAGGUUGGGGAAAGAGAGUCCGAGGUGAGGGGAGGCAGGGCCAGCCCAGGAUACAGUUCAACCUCUGCACAGGGGGCUCCAGACUCUCACACCAGGGUAGGGAACCUCGUCAGGCACCUGCCAGCCUGCUUACAGGAAGCUGCUCCGUUACCUACCACUGACCCAUCUGCCCACCACCUGGUAGACGUGCCCCACGCCCCACAGCCAUCCUGCUCUGAGAGCUUUGUCCAAUUACUCUGGCCAACAGCCCUCAAUAGCUCAGCACAGUGAGAACACUCCCAGAAGAUGCUGGGAACCAGGGAAAAAGUAAGACCCUGAGAACACAGGCAUUGCUGGAAGGGAACAGAGUGAGCACAGCAUCCCAACCUGCUGGCCGCCAGCCCUCCCAGCUGGGGCACCGUGCUUCCGACCCUCAUAGGAGCUGGACGGCCUCCCUCACCACCACCCCCCCCCACCCCCGCUCCCCUAGCACAGGCAGCUUCAAUGCUGCUUCUUGAAUUCACACUUGUUUAAAGAAGAGGUUCUCCAGCAAAGGGUGCUGUCUCCGUCUCCUCGGCAGACCCAUGUGAUCAGGCCUGUGAUUGACAUUUUUUCCACAUUCAGUAUUUGCUUGGAUAGUUCCUCGUCAAAGCCGUGAGUUCUCGGUCUGGGAAAUUAGUCUGCAUUGCAAUAGUUCUCACAGGGCAAUUGAAGACAUAAUUGUACAUAAUCUAUUUUGAAUCUAGAUGCUUAAAAAGAGAAUUACAAACAUCUGGGGCAUCAUUUGGCAUUCCUGUUUGUACUUUGGGUGGAUUUUGCCAGCGAUAGGGCCAUGGGAGAAAAUGACAAUGUUUGAGAGCAGUUUUUCUAGGGUUCAGUUUACACUUGAUUAUGUUUUCGGCACAUUCCCACCAAAACAUGCAUGCUUUACUUACAUUCCGUACUUCAGUUUAUUUGUUUCUCUUUCAUAGAAAUGCCACUUCGAUUUGCUAUAGCACUUUCUGCAGUGAAGUAUAACUUGUGUAAAGUGUCCUGGGGCCACCAUAACAAAGUGCCCCACAACGGGGGAGCUUCACACAGCAGAGAUUUGUCCUCUCUCAGUUCUGGGGCCAGAGUCUGAGAUCCAGGUGUGGGUGCUCCUGCAGGGGCUCUGGGGGCUCCUUCCUGCCUCUGCCAGCUUCUGGGAACUCCAGGCGUCCUUUGUCCGCCCCCAGGAGGCCUGUGUGCUUUGGAAACCCCUUGGAAGAGCUCGGGGUCACCGAGGCUUCAGGACCCUCGUUAUAUUCCUUCUAGGACAUUAGUGGUGGUCCUAAGGAGUGCUUCGAUUGAAUGGAGGAGAAAAGAGCCCUGUUUGGCCUGGUGUGACCCUAUCACCAGGGGACCCAUUCCAGGAUCCUACCACCUUCCACUGCCUCCAGGACACGCACGUUUCGUUCUCAAGAAGCGCUGUCUUCAGAAGGGAGAGGGGCUUCAUUCAGCCUGGACCUCUCCCUACACCCCUCCUGGCUGCCAGCGUGGGGAGGAGAUGCCCACCUUGGCCCACCACAGAGUCCCUGGAAUUUGCACUCACGACACACGUCACCGUUCUUAUAAAAGCAGUCCUAUUAAGCAAAGGCCGUGCUGCAGCCACGACGAAUAUGUGGACAGAUUACUCAGUGGAAAACGGUGACAGCGACUAUGUCACCACAAAGCAGAUGAAAUAAGAACACAGGUCUGGGGCGCCUGGGUGGCACAGUCGGUUAAGCGUCCGGCUCUUGAUCUCGGCUCAGGACAUGAUCUCACAAUUUGUGGGAUCGAGCCCCGCGUCAGGCUCUGUGCUGAUGGCUCAGAGCCUGCUUGGGAUCCUGUCUCUCCUUCUCUCUGCCCCUCCCCCACUUGUGCACAGUCUCUGUCUCGCUCUCUCUCAAAGUAAAUAAAUAAAUAAACUAAAAUUUAAAAAAAAGAGCACGGGUCUUUGGAUGUAUUAACACAGAGGGAUCUGGUGUUGACAACACUCUGUGCACUUCUCUGUCUCAAGCUCCCCUCUUUGAAAGCGGAUCACUCCUAACAUGAUACGCUCUUCCCAAAACCACCAGCGGUGGGGGGCCAGGGGGAAGGGUGUGGGCAAAGCCUGGCGUCUGAGCGCCUGGCAAAUGUGGCCCUCGGGUGCUGCAUCCCUGCAGGCUCAGGGGCCCUGCUCCGCGUGGGGAGGUGCUGGCUCCUUCUCGUCACACACGCCUCUGCCUACGCACACACUUCAGAAGUGCCUCUCGUGAACUUUCCGACAAAACUGUUCACAGUGACUUCUAAUUAACUGCAUUCACUCCCUGGGAAUGGACGCGGCUGCCUCGGGUGGGUCCUGGGAGGCGGGCCGGGGGGCCGGGGGCUGGAGGACGGCCUGGCGGGUGCCUACCCUUGCUGGGCCUCCAGAGUCGGUCCAUCCCGUGCCGCAGCAGCACGGUCCUGGCCAGCUCCGUGAAGGACUCGGUGAUGUUGAAGUUGCACAGAGGGCUGACCUCGAAGAAGGUGACACCCAGGCGCGCUGCGUAGGCCUGGGCCUGCUCCGUGGGGACUUGCCGCUUGAAGGCCAGAUGCAGGCGGUUUCCCACCAGGAUUUUAGGGACACCAGGGGCAUGCUGAAGGGUGA